CAGCAAUGACUAAACUCAUGUCCCGAUCCCUUCUCCUUGCAGACCCUUGUCAAGGUUGCCAAGGCCUUGGCGAUGGGGGUGGCUGGAACUACUUCCUCGCCAACUGAGGUAUAUGCAGACCCAGAAAGAGGAGGGUGGACUGAGGGUCCUUCUGCCCAUGCAGCCUCACAACUGUCCGCUCUGCAAAAAGUCCAUCCCCAUCAAAUGGGAGGUCCUGGAUUGAGGACUGCAUCUCCUGUGAUAGGCCCGCAGUCUGAAGCCAGUAACUGCACCUCAUGACCACCACCGAAGGAACCACCCUGGCCUACAAAUCAGCUGCGUCCCACGCCAUUUGGAGGGAGCACCUUGCCGUUAUGGUACCUUCCUCAAGAAGAGCCCCGAAUUCUUGGGCCAAGUCCUGGGACAGGGAGAUCUUGAAUUUUCUGAAGGAGUCCCAUAAGUUAAAGUUAUAUCUCCCCAAAAGAGCCUGGUGGUUUGCGACCCUGAACCGAAGGCCGGCUGUGGAAUACAUUUUCCUUUCAAAAAGAUCCAGCCUCGUGGCUUCUUUAUUUUUGGAGGUAGAACUGGAUUGUCUCUGUCUGUAUUCCUCAUUGGCCACUGAAACAACCAACGACCCCAAGGGAAGGUGGGUGUAUAAGUAUUCGAACCCCUUGGCUGGGAAGAAAUACUUGUUUUCAGCUCUCUUGCAGGUGGGUGGGAUUGAGGCCGGAGUUUGCCAGAGGGCUUUAGCAAUCUUUAGGACCCCAUCGUGCACCGGGAGCAUGACAUAUGUGGGAGCUGAUGUGGAGAGCACAUUAAACAAGGUGCCCGAUUGCUCCGCCGUCACCACCACCUCUAGGGCUAAGUUUGUGGCCACCCUUCAGAGCAGGGCUUUGUGCUCCUUAAAAUCAUCCGGUGGACUAGCAUGGGAGGACACCACAACAACCUCAUCUGAAGAAGAUGAGGAUGUCUGGAGCACCGGGGAAGGGCCAGGGCUUCAUCCCCAUGAGGGAAGGAGGUUUUGGGAUGGGCACACGACCCUGGCAUCCGACUGCACUUUGCGCACCGAUCCCGGUGCCAUCUAUUGCUUUUCUGAAGCAGCGACCAACAAUUGGUGUGAAGGAGACACUGGCAUACCUCAGGCACUCCAGUAGAGCCAUUGCACCGGCCACCUGCCCUGCUGCAGGAUGGCAUCGUGGAGGUGGACUCCGUUUCAGGUGCCCUGUGGGUGCUGCCCUGGUGAAG
rnacentral:lncRNA from 1 species